CGGCAAGCCCAGCGACUUACAACUUCUGCUGCUAAGAGUACACGAAAGCACGAAUAAAGAACUUGUCGAAGUACGAUUCAUGAAGAGCAGCAUUGACAACAAACGUAUGCGUUUCGGCUACAAAGGUGCCUCUUGUGACGUGUUUGCAGUAGACAAACAACUGGUGUAAGUGGUGAACAGGUGCGGGACACACCAUCAAGAGUCAGCCGUGUGUCCUUCAGUAACUACGACUUCCUUCCCUGUCUUGCAGUCAACACUGCGUGAUGUUUUUGUGAUUGGUUGUUGGAAAACGACGACAACUGACA